rnacentral:rRNA from 1 species
AUGACGAAGUUCAAGUGUCUUCUCUUCAAGAGAAUAAAAAUUGUUGCGGAUAGGGAUCCUGUAAAAACAUCUUUUGAGGAAUGGGCCAGACCCGGCCAUUUCUCAAGAACACUAGCUAAGGGCCCUGAUACUACCACUUGGAUCUGGAACCUACAUGUCUUGUUGCUUCGGAUCAGUUCCCUUUAG